rfam:Parcubacteria bacterium GW2011_GWA2_47_8 TY09_C0029, whole genome shotgun sequence.
GGGCAUGACACAGGAUUCGAUAAGUGCAAUGCUCAUACACACAGCAGGUGGAGUCGCUUGACCUCCGAAAAACCAAGCAUUAUUGACAAAUGUCAAUUCAUUCAAUAACGCAUUUGCGUUUGCUCCCACGGCUGUUGCCUGAAUAAAGUACUCAGGCGCCGAAGACCAAUACGAGUCUUUAGAGGAGCCGUGUACGCGUAGGUUGUCCGAUAGAGCGCGUGCACGUACGACAUCGGACUAGCGCUUCAUACUGUCUAGUAUGUUGCACGAAGAUCCUUAGACUUAUAUCGGGCAGUACGACUUUUGUCUGGUUUUCAAUCAUACUGCCGACACACAAACCUGACUAAACCUGUAGAAUGAGUGUAUGAUCCGCGCUUAGACGAGGGUUCGAUUCCCUCCAUGUCCACCA